AUUGAACGCUGGCGGAAUGCUUUACACAUGCAAGUCGAGCGGCAGCACGGGGGCAACCCUGGUGGCGAGCGGCGAACGGGUGAGUAAUACAUCGGAACAUGCCCAGUCGUGGGGGAUAACACUUCGAAAGAAGUGCUAAUACCGCAUACGUCCUGAGGGAGAAAGCGGGGGAUCUUCGGACCUUGCGCGAUUGGAGUGGCCGAUGUCAGAUUAGCUAGUUGGUGGGGUAAAGGCCUACCAAGGCAACGAUCUGUAGCUGGUCUGAGAGGAUGAGCAGCCACACUGGGACUGAGACACGGCCCAGACUCCUACGGGAGGCAGCAGUGGGGAAUUUUGGACAAUGGGGGCAACCCUGAUCCAGCCAUUCCGCGUGAGUGAAGAAGGCCUUCGGGUUGUAAAGCUCUUUCGGCAGGAACGAAACGGCGAGCUCUAACAUAGCUUGCUAAUGACGGUACCUGAGGAAGAAGCACCGGCUAACUACGUGCCAGCAGCCGCCGUAACAC
rnacentral:rRNA from 1 species